rnacentral:rRNA from 1 species
UGGGAAUUUUGGACAAUGGGCGCAAGCCUGAUCCAGCCAUGCCGCGUGUCUGAAGAAGGCCUUCGGGUUGUAAAGGACUUUUGUCAGGGAAGAAAAGGGCGGGGUUAAUACCCCUGUCUGAUGACGGUACCUGAAGAAUAAGCACCGGCUAACUACGUGCCAGCAGCCGCGGUAAUACGUAGGGUGCGAGCGUUAAUCGGAAUUACUGGGCGUAAAGCGGGCGCAGACGGUUACUUAAGCAGGAUGUGAAAUCCCCGGGCUCAACCUGGGAACUGCGUUCUGAACUGGGUGACUAGAGUGUGUCAGAGGGAGGUAGAAUUCCACGUGUAGCAGUGAAAUGCGUAGAGAUGUGGAGGAAUACCGAUGGCGAAGGCAGCCUCCUGGGAUAACACUGACGUUCAUGCCCGAAAGCGUGGGUAGCAAACAGGAUUAGAUACCCUGGUAGUCCACGCCCUAAACGAUGUCGAUUAGCUGUUGGGCAGCAUGACUGCUUAGUAGCGAAGCUAACGCGUGAAAUCGACCGCCUGGGGAGUACGGUCGCAAGAUUA